rnacentral:rRNA from 1 species
UGGGGAAUAUUGGACAAUGGGCGCAAGCCUGAUCCAGCCACGCCGCGUGAGUGAUGAAGGCCUUCGGGUCGUAAAGCUCUGUGGGGAGGGACGAACCGCUGGAUAUUAAUACCAUCCAGCAUGACGGUACCUCCUUAGCAAGCACCGGCUAACUUCGUGCCAGCAGCCGCGGUAAUACGAAGGGUGCAAACGUUGCUCGGAAUUAUUGGGCGUAAAGCGCACGUAGGCGGCCCAGCAAGUCGGAAGUGAAAUCCCACGGCUCAACCAUGGAAGUGCUUUCGAAACUGCUAGGCUUGAGUACAAAAGAGGAUCGCGGAAUUCCCGGUGUAGAGGUGAAAUUCGUAGAUAUCGGGAGGAACACCAGUGGCGAAGGCGGCGAUCUGGGUUGAUACUGACGCUGAGGUGCGAAAGCGUGGGGAGCAAACAGG